rnacentral:rRNA from 1 species
GACGAACGCUGGCGGCGUGCUUAACACAUGCAAGUCGAACGGAAAGGCCCUGCUUUUGUGGGGUGCUCGAGUGGCGAACGGGUGAGUAACACGUGAGGAACCUGCCCUUGACUUUGGGAUAACUUCAGGAAACUGGGGCUAAUACCGGAUAGGAGCUCCUGCUGCAUGGUGGGGGUUGGAAAGUUUCGGCGGUUGGGGAUGGACUCGCGGCUUAUCAGCUUGUUGGUGGGGUAGUGGCUUACCAAGGCUUUGACGGGUAGCCGGCCUGAGAGGGUGACCGGCCACAUUGGGACUGAGAUACGGCCCAGACUCCUACGGGAGGCAGCAGUGGGGAAUAUUGCACAAUGGGCGGAAGCCUGAUGCAGCAACGCCGCGUGCGGGAUGACGGCCUUCGGGUUGUAAACCGCUUUCGCCUGUGACGAAGCGUGAGUGAGGGUAAUGGGUAAAGAAGCACCGGCUAACUACGUG